rnacentral:lncRNA from 1 species
CUGAUGGACGAGCGGUGGACGAUUCCUCAACGCGUGGUCGCGAUUCGUCCGACGCGACGCGGCGGCGGCGGCGGCGGCGGCGGCGGAGGCGGAGGCGGCGGCGGCGGCGGCGGCGGCGGCGGCGGCGGCAGCGGCGAUGGGAACCUCCCCACCGGCGGCGGCGGCGGGAGAGCCGGCGCGGGCGCGUGCCUCGCGCGCGACGCCGCCGCCGCGCCCGCGUCUGGAAGCGGCGGGGGCGAAGAAAAAGACGCCGACGCGGCGGCGCGCGACGGCGACGACGCGACGCCGCCGAACGACUCGGCGUCGCCGCCGCCGCGCGAGACCUCCCCGGACGACGACUCCUCUGACAUCGACGUGAAGAACACGUCGGUUCUCGUGAAGUGGUGGGGCCUGCCGUACGACAAAUGCACGUGGGAGCGCGCGGAGUGCCACCCUGAUCUCCCGCUUCUCUUGAAGCGAUUCGCGGAGUGGAAGCGGCG